CCGCUCACCAGCGCUCAGUCUGUCCAUGUGGUGCUGACCUGCCUGCCCUCCGUGAGCCAGAGACGGGACUGGUUUGGGGGCUCCCAUCUGAGUGGGCCUGGGAGACCACGGUUCUCCGUACACCA